AACGAACGCUGGCGGCAUGCCUAACACAUGCAAGUCGAACGAGUGGCGGACGGGUGAGUAAUGUCUGGGAAACUGCCUGACGGAGGGGGAUAACUACUGGAAAAGUUAGCUAAUACCGCAUACCAUCACUUGUGCCUACAUGGGAUUAGCGAGCUGGUGGGGUAACGGCUCAUCAAGGUGACGAUCCCUAGCUGGUCCGAGAGGAUGAACAGCCACACUGGAACUGAGACACGGUCCAGACUCCUACGGGAGGCAGCAGUGGGGAAUAUUGCACAAUGGUCGAAAGCCUGAUGCAGCCAUGCCGCGUGUGUGAAGAAGGCCUUCGGGUCGUAAAGUACUUUCGGCGGGGAGGCGUUACCCAAAGAAGAAGCAACGGCUAACUCCGUGCCAGCCGCCGCGGUAAUUC
rnacentral:rRNA from 1 species